CAAUGAUUGAGUCAGUCAUGUGUAUGUAAUAAGGCCUCCAUAAAAACCGAAGAGGAUGGGGUUUGCAGAGCUUCUAGGCUGGUGAGCACUUGGAUGUGCUGGAGGCAUCCAGAGGGUGGAGCACGUGGAGAGGGCAUGAAUGCUCAGUGCACCUUCCCUCAUACCUUGCCUUAUACAGCGUUUCCAUCUGGCUGCUGUUGAGUUUUAUUCUUUAUAACAAUAUGCUAACCCUAAGCAAAGUUUUCCUGAGUUCUGUGAGCCAUUCUAGCAAAUGGUGGAACCUGAGAAAGGGGACAUGGGAAUCUCUGACUUACAGCCAGUCAGCCCGAAGCACAGGAUACCAAAAUCAUCAUACCAGAGACAUGAAUCUCCCUCAUUUGGCAUCCCAGGAGGCCUGGAUCAGUUUCACUGUGAAUGCUCCGCCGCUCAACCACACAAGCACCCUUCCUCCAGGCCCAGGGGAUACUGCAGAAGAGUCAUUUUAAAGUAUUUUCUAAUUUUCCUUGUGACUUCCUCUUUAAUACAUUGGUUACUUAGGAAUUUGUUUUGUAAUGUUCACAUGUUUGGGAUUUUUUUUUCAAAUUUUCGUCCAUUACAUGAAGUGUUCAUCAAUUUAUUACAAUUAGUUGAAAAAAUCAGUUAAGACAUUUGCACUUUCCUAUACAUGUUAUAGUUUGAUAAAAAAGUUUUAAAAAUAGAAUAAUGAUACCUGUUUUAUUAAAAGACUGCUCCAGUAAACCACCUGCUGUUGAUCUUACUUUCUAAUACAUUUCUAAUACAUCUUUCUAAUACAUUUCUAAAUAUAUCUGUGCCUUUAUUAGUAAGACUUGCUUCAUUGGGUAGAAGAACAAA
rnacentral:misc_RNA from 1 species